ACAGCGAUAGCUCAGUUGGUAGAGCAUUUGCUCUGUAUGCGGAGAAAGGCUGGUUUGAUUCCGGCUUGCUGAG
rnacentral:tRNA from 1 species